rnacentral:rRNA from 1 species
AGAGUUUGAUCAUGGCUCAGAAUGAACGCUGGCGGCGUGCUUUACACAUGCAAGUCGAGCGAGGCUGCCCGCAAGGGUAAGUCGAGCGGCGAACGGGUGAGUAACGCGUGGAUGACCUGCCCUUGAAUGGGGAAUAACCCGGGGAAACUCGGGCUAAUACCGCAUACGACCGAGAGGUGAAAGGGGGCUCGCAAGGGCUCUCGUUCGAGGAGGGGUCCGCGUUCGAUUAGCUAGUUGGUAGGGUAAUGGCCUACCAAGGCGACGAUCGAUAGCCGGCCUGAGAGGGUGAUCGGCCACACUGGAACUGAGACACGGUCCAGACUCCUACGGGAGGCAGCAGUGGGGAAUUUUGCGCAAUGGGCGAGAGCCUGACGCAGCAACGCCGCGUGGAGGAUGAAGGUCUUUGGAUUGUAAACUCCUGUCAGCGGGGAAAAAGGGAUUUGGCCUAAUACGCCAGAAACUUGAUUGUACCCGCAGAGGAAGCCCCGGCUAACUCUGUGCCAGCAGCCGCGGUAAUACAGAGGGGGCGAGCGUUAUUCGGAAUUAUUGGGCGUAAAGGGCGCGUAGGCGGCCUUUCAAGUGACGGGUGAAAUCCCUCGGCUUAACCGAGGAACUGCCUGUCAGACUGGAAGGCUUGAGACCGGGAGAGGUGAGUGGAAUUCCCAGUGUAGCGGUGAAAUGCGUAGAUAUUGGGAGGAACACCAGUGGCGAAGGCGGCUCACUGGACCGGUACUGACGCUGAGGCGCGAAAGCGUGGGGAGCAAACAGGAUUAGAUACCCUAGUAGUCC